UAUAGGUAUUAGUUCAGUACUUCUAUUUAGUUAUUUAUUUAUUUUCAUAUUAUGUAGUGAAAUGUGAGUUGUAGAGUGGUUAGAGGUUUGAUAAAAAGGUGUCUUGAUAAAGAAUAAUGCUUGUAGUAAAGGCAAGAAGUGUUAUCUAUAUAUCAUAUCUUGAAAUCAUUGAUUAGUCGCUUUGAAAGUUUGAAGAUAGAAAAGGAUUUUAGCUAGGUAUGCUUGUUACGGUCUUGUUUCCUUUAUUUCCUUUUUACUUUUACAUUUGUUUUUUUUCCUUUACUUUUUCUGAGAACAGUGGGUGGGGGAGUGGAUAUACAUUGAUUAACUACUGUACUUGAAUGCAUUUAUAUUGUUUGAAAAUGUGUUGCUCCUGUAUGUAGGCUAACAACAAAGUGUAAUGAGCAAAAUAUGGUACCUGUUACUCAUUAAAGCUAUUGAGAUAGGUAGGUACAUACAUAGGGGAUCAUGCAGUUUUGCAUGUGAGCUUCAUUGACAGCUACUAUUACUGGCUGUUUGGUUGGAAGGAAUUGAAAUUCUUUUCCUACCUAAUUCUUUAACAUGUAACAUUAAAUUGCUUGGAGGGAAUUGAAUACUAGUGCAAUUAGGCUCCUAUAUGUUUUUUCAUAGUUAAAUAAUAGGCCUUUUGGUUGCAAGGGAGGGAAUUAGGGGGGGAAAGGAAUUAUAAUUCCGUGCGAAAGGAAUAAUGUGGGAAUAAAGUAGGAAUUCAAAUUCCAUUGUUUGGUAGGCAGGAAUAGAAUACCUGGGAAUUUCAAUUAUAGUGUUUGGUAUAUAUAGGAAUUGAAAGGGAAUAAGUAGUAUAAAGACCAAAAUGCCCUUGUAAUUGCAAUUCCUAGGGAAAGAUGUAGGAUUAUUAGGGAGGGGCAAUAUGGUCCUCACACUC